rnacentral:rRNA from 1 species
UACGUAGGGGGCAAGCGUUGUCCGGAUUUAUUGGGCGUAAAGAGCUCGUAGGUGGUUCGGUAAGUCGGAUGUGAAAUCUCCAGGCUCAACCUGGAGGGGUCAUUCGAUACUGCCGUGAUUAGAGUUCGGUAGGGGAGUGUGGAAUUCCUGGUGGAGCGGUGAAAUGCGCAGAUAUCAGGAGGAACACCCGUAGCGAAGGCGGCACUCUGGGCCGAUACUGACACUGAGGAGCGAAAGCGUGGGGAGCGAACAGG